UACGUAGGGUGCGAGCGUUGCCCGGAAUUACUGGGCGUAAAGAGCGCGUAGGCGGUUUGUCGCGUUGUUCGUGAAAACUCACAACUCAAUUGUGGGCGUGCGGGCGAUACGGGCAGACUGGAGUACUGCAGGGGAGACUGGAAUUCCUGGUGUAGCGGUGGAAUGCGCAGAUAUCAGGAGGAACACCGGUGGCGAAGGCGGGUCUCUGGGCAGUAACUGACGCUGAGGAGCGAAAGCGUGGGGAGCGAACAGG
rnacentral:rRNA from 1 species